rnacentral:rRNA from 1 species
GAUGAACGCUGGCGGCGUGCCUAAUACAUGCAAGUCGAACGCACAGCGAAAGGUGCUUGCACCUUUCAAGUGAGUGGCGAACGGGUGAGUAACACGUGGACAACCUGCCUCAAGGCUGGGGAUAACAUUUGGAAACAGAUGCUAAUACCGAAUAAAACUCAGUGUCGCAUGACACAAAGUUAAAAGGCGCUUUGGCGUCACCUAGAGAUGGAUCCGCGGUGCAUUAGCUAGUUGGUGAGGUAACGGCUCACCAAGGCAACGAUGCAUAGCCGACCUGAGAGGGUGAUCGGCCACAUUGGGACUGAGACACGGCCCAAACUCCUACGGGAGGCUGCAGUAGGGAAUCUUCCACAAUGGGCGAAAGCCUGAUGGAGCAACGCCGCGUGUGUGAUGAAGGCUUUCGGGUCGUAAAGCACUGUUGUAUGGGAAGAACAGCUAGAAUAGGAAAUGAUUUUAGUUUGACGGUACCAUACCAGAAAGGGACGGCUAAAUACGUGCCAGCAGCCGCAGUAAGAC